GAUAAUAUUUUGAUCUCAUAAAUUGAAUAUUCGAAUAUCGAAUGACCGAUUGCCAAAGUUGUCGAUCUAUAGUUAUUAUUGCUUGUCAAUUGUUAUUCCUGCUUUUUUUAAAUAUUCAUAUCAUUUUUGCAUUAAUAUGAAAUUGAGUGGUGAUACUGUCCUACCUAAUUGGGUAUUCACAACUAAUUCCUAUGUAAGAGCAUUAUGUAAAAUUGCAUACUUGUAGAUGAGCCGUCAGAAUGACAGUCGCGGCAUUGGAUAAAUAUCAUUUGGGCAUUAGUGCCAUUGUUGUUGUGGCUAUGCAACUUUUAUUUUUCACUGUUGCUGUCACAUUUCAGUAUGAUAAAGUGGCCGACUUUGCUGGUGGUAUAAGUUUUAUUUUAGUGGCUGUGCUAACAUAUGGAUUAGCUCAGACACAUGAUAAUCGACAAUUUAUGGUUACAUUAUUUGUAUGUAUUUGGGGUGCCCGAUUAAGUUCAUAUUUGUUUUAUCGAAUAAUAAAAAUUGGUAGAGAUGCUACAUUUCCAGACAGACGUAGCAAUAUGAUUCGCUUUGCUGUGUUUUGGACAUUUCAAGCUAUUUGGGUGCUUGUUGUUAGCUUGCCUAUUAUUGUUAUCAAUGCACCUCAUAAUUCUAUAAAAGCUGGAGCCCCUAAAACUAUGACCACUUUGGAUACUGUUGGCUGUUGUGUGUUCAUUUUUGGCUUCAUUAUUGAAACUUUUGCUGAUUUACAAAAGUAUGCAUUUAGAAGUGAAGAAACAAAUAAAGGAAAGUGGUGUGAUGACGGUUUAUGGAGUAUGUCUAGACAUCCAAAUUAUUUUGGAGAAAUAGUAUUGUGGUGGGGUGUUUUUAUUGUGUCAUUAAAUGUGAUUAAAGGUCCAGAGUAUAUUGUUGUUAUAUCGCCAAUUUUCACAACAUUUAUCAUACUUUUUCUCUCUGGUAUUCCACACUUAGAACGAGUUUCCGAUCAUAGAUUUAGAAACAAUGCUCAUUAUCAGCUGUACAAGCGAUCCACUUCACCAUUAAUACCUAUACCGCCGUCUCUUUAUAUUGAAGUACCUGGUUUUAUUAAAAUGCUUUGUUGUUGUGAACUACCUUUAUAUAAUUGGAUGAAAGCACAUCCUUCAGAUCCUCCAGAAGCAGCUCCAGCUCCAAAAUCAUCCUAGCAAAAAAAGGGAGCGGGUGUAACUAUGGUACAGAUUACAGAUCGCUCCCAAGAAGGUCCUGUCUACUCAACAGCUACCACCUUACACGGAGCUGCUCACUUGA
rnacentral:misc_RNA from 1 species